UUAACCGAAACCAAAAUGGAGGUAUAUUAUUGUUAAUAAUAACAUUGAAUUCUUAUUCCGGUUAAG
rnacentral:tRNA from 1 species